rnacentral:rRNA from 1 species
UUACGGUCCCAGAACUAACCCUGGAACUCGCCCCUCGGUCUCGUCUGAUCUCCGUGGAAGCUAAGCAGGGUUUGGCCUGGUUAGUACUUGGAUGGGAGACGACCUGGGAAUACCAGUGCGUACA